AUGGCCUCAAGGGAGUUGUUGUUGCAGCCAACCACUGGCGGAGCUACAACAAGGCCUAAUGGGCCAUGGCCCGCCCAGCUCAUGGCCGAAACUAUGAAAGACCAACCAUCAUCAUCGAUGCAAAGGAGAGAAAGAGAAGGAUCCACAAAUUCGUGCAUCAGCAACAACUCCUCGUCGGCGAAGGGGUCGGCGGCGCACUACAUGCACACUCUAGGCACCCUGCGUUGGCGCUAUCGGCAGUGCUACUCCAGGUGGAGGAGGGAAGCUGGAGGGGGCGUAGAAGUAGGGGCGCGGCGGGAAGGCUGUGAGAGGGAAGUUGCACAUGGAUCCCCCUCAUCCCAGAUCGGAGUUGGAUGGGAGACAGCGAUGGAGAUUUGGAGCAGGGAUUGGAUCAGGCAGCAACUAAGGAGGAUGGCGCCCACGCAGUGCAGGGCUCGAGCUCCGGAUCCACCGAGAAGGAAGGUUAGGGUCAUAGGGAGGACGUGCGACCACGACCACCGGACACAAGCUUGGUGGUGCAUUUUUCUUCUUCUGCUCUACACAUCCAGAAACAAGCACAACGGGAGCCACCCAGCCUCCUCGCCGCUCAGGAUUCCUGGUCGUUGGAUCCUUCUUUUGAUGCAUUCUAGGUCUGUGGGGUCCUUCGCUGGUGGGCCGCGCUGGUCAGCGGCUGUGGCUGGGAGUAUGGUCGGUGCGGCCCGUCAGUCCCCUCAAGAGGAAAAGAUCUCGUGCCACCGCCGCUAUUCCCCUGCCCCGCCGAGGGUGUUUCCGACUUUUCAUGUUCUACCCCUGUGCGUGGUGGCCGCUGGUUGGCUGUGGUUCGACCAGUCCAUAGAAGGGGAGGGAAUGGCUGCGGUGGCGGAGGAUGUGGAGGCGUUCCUGGCGAUGUGCGCGGUGUUGGGGGAUGCAGCAUACGGUGCAACCAAGGCCAUGCUGGAGUGGCUCAACGCGCCGGCCAAGCGCGCCGAGGCCAGGCGGCUCCUCGGCACCUGGAGAGGCCCCAAUUCCUCCCUAGGUCUGCACACCGACGCCAGCCGCCGCAACCGGAAAGCGCUCUCCAGCCACUGCCAUAUGCCUGGUGGGAUCAGACGUUGUUCUGGGUGGCAAAUGCCUCGUUGUGUUGACUACCAUAGUGAGGCCGGUGGAAUUCAGUGGCCUGGCAUCAAGGAGUUGAGGCUGAGGUUGCAGGCAAUUGCACUGAGAGUGCUAUGGGAGUGGCUUCGACAGUACUUGGCCGAGAUGCUCACCGAGAACCAGAUGCUUGGGCCUUUGAUGCAGGUGCUGCCCAUAUGCAGCAAGCUGUCGAGCCAAGGUGAGAUCUCCUAA
rnacentral:rRNA from 1 species